UGACAACAUGACACUUGAUGACAAUCACAACAACGCGAGCAGAUACUGCAGAUAGGAAGAUGACAGCUCUUAAUGUCACUUUAACAGCACAUAUUACAGCUCAACCGCAAAUAAAACCGACGCAAUCAAACGACACAUAAAUGAGGAACCGAGUACGGCACAAGACUCACCUAAGGAAUGUGUUUGGACCAUUACAUCCAGUCAUCAGAAGCAGAGCUGUGGGACGUGUGGACAGACAUUGACUGUAAUGAUGGACUUCUGCUGAUGGACAGCAUAACCCCUGCUGU